rnacentral:rRNA from 1 species
CGCCUCCUGCAACACAAAGUAUAGGAGGUCCAGCCUGCCCAGUGACUACGGGUUCAACGGCCGCGGUAUAUUGACCGUGCAAAGGUAGCGCAAUCACUUGUCUUUUAAAUAAAGACCUGUAUGAAUGGCUAGACGAGGGCUUAACUGUCUCCCCCCUCCAGUCAGUGAAAUUGAUCUAUCCGUGCAGAAGCGGGUAUAAUUCUACAAGACGAGAAGACCCUUUGGAGCUUAAGGUACAAGAUUCAAUCACGUCAAGCAACUUACUGAAUGAGCCAGAACUUAGUGAUGAUGAAACUUUACCUUCGGUUGGGGCGACCACGGAGGAGAGACAAGCCUCCGAGUGGACUGGGACGAACCCCUAAAGCCAAGAUAAACAUCUUUAAGCCGCAGAACAUCUGACCAAUAAUGAUCCGGCCCACAAGCCGAUCAACGAACCAAGUUACCCUAGGGAUAACAGCGCAAUCCUCUCCCAGAGCCCAUAUCGACGAGGGGGUUUACGACCUCGAUGUUGGAUCAGGACAUCCUGAUGGUGCAGCCGCUAUUAAGGGUUCGUUUGUUCAACGAUUAAAGUCCU